rnacentral:tRNA from 1 species
CCUUCGAUAGCUCAGUUGGUAGAGCGGUGGACUGUAGAAAGAUUCUGAAUAAAGAGUGCAGAUAUCCAUAGGUCGCUGGUUCAAAUCCGGCUCGAAGGA